rnacentral:tRNA from 1 species
GCCUUCGUGGUGUAGCGGUCAGCACGCUCGACGCGCAACCGAGAGGUCCGUGGUUCGAUUCCCGGCGAAGGCG